rnacentral:tRNA from 1 species
GGGGAUGUAGUUCAGUAGUAGAGGGCUUGCCUAGCAUGCAGGAAGCCUUGGGUUCAAUCCCCAGCACCA